GGCGUCCAACGGCACUCUCAAACUCUGCCAACGCAGCGGGCCUAACCGCGCGGACCAAAGAACGAAUCCCCGCAAAAGGAAGCUCAGGGUAAUAUCCCUCAAUACCGCCCUGAGCAAAUUCCUAGCACAGCCCCGCUUCACGCAACCUUUUGAGAGCGGGACAGUUGUCGUAGAGGUGGUCGGGACUAACCACCUCACAACAAAAACAGACGGCCUUACUGCCCGCGCGCUGUCGGAGAAUUCCCACCUCCCCGUGCGUCAACCUACGGCCGAACUGGUUGACCCACUUGGUCAACUCGCAAGCUUUCGCCAACGGAGUGGCGGAUUCUCCGCCAGCGGGUGCACUGGGACGGCCAGUGCCGCGACCCCUAUCCCCGCGCCCGCCACGCGAACCUGUUCUACCCCCAUGACUAUUACGCCCAGGACCGCUUCCGCGUCCCGUCUGCCUAGGGGCCCCAGCAACAGCUGCAGCGAGACGAGGACCGGGGUCCACGCGCGCCCGCUUGACUGGAGGCCCAUCUUCGUCAUAAUCC
rnacentral:lncRNA from 1 species